GAUGAACGCUGGCGGCGUGCCUAAUACAUGCAAGUCGAGCGAACAGACGAGGAGCUUGCUCCUCUGACGUUAGCGGCGGACGGGUGAGUAACACGUGGAUAACCUACCUAUAAGACUGGGAUCACUUCGGGAAACCGGAGCUAAUACCGGAUAAUAUAUUGAACCGCAUGGUUCAAUAGUGAAAGACGGUUUUGCUGUCACUUAUAGAUGGAUCCGCGCCGCAUUAGCUAGUUGGUAAGGUAACGGCUUACCAAGGCAACGAUGCGUAGCCGACCUGAGAGGGUGAUCGGCCACACUGGAACUGAGACACGGUCCAGACUCCUACGGGAGGCAGCAGUAGGGAAUCUUACGCAAUGGGCGAAAGCCUGACGGAGCAACGCCGCGUGAGUGAUGAAGGUCUUCGGAUCGGAAAACUCUGUUAUUAGGGAAGAAGAAAUGUGUAAGUAACUAUGCACGUCUUGACGGUACCUUAUCAGAAAGCCACGGCUAACUACGUG
rnacentral:rRNA from 1 species